CAGGGGCUUUUCUUGUGGCCACAACCUCCUGGGCUAUGAUUGGGGGGAGGGAGCAAAGCAGCAGCCCUUCCCCCUCCCUCUUGCUCAUGGAUGCACCGCCUUGGUGUUGAUUGCUGGGGCUGCUACCAGAGGUUGGGCCCAGCCCCCAUCUGGAAAGACCGGGGGCACAAUGCUGUUGGAGCAGGCAACAGCCUGCCAGCCCAACAAUAGCUUGCUAGAAUUGGUUGGUGUCUGAUGGUGACCUGAGAUGCCGGCUUCAAGAUUUGCCAGGCUGAAAAUGACCAACUUGGUUUUAAAGUGCUGGCUCUGGUUUGCGAGGAGUUGGACUGGAAGAGGAUGUAAUUGACGGAACUGUGAGGAGAAGGACAGACAGUCAACAGCAAAUGAAAG